rnacentral:tRNA from 1 species
UCCCUGAUGGUCCGGUGGCUAAGACUCUGAGUUCCCAAUACAGGGGGCCCGGGUUCAAUCCCUAGUCAGGGAA